AUGGAAGCCUGGCCAGCUGAAGUAGAUACCUUGGCCCUGUUUGGAGGCUGCAGAAGAUAUUUGGCUGAUAACAGCUAAAGCACUCUUACAUCAGAGGGAGAGGUUGGAAAGGGCUUCGUCCCUGACCUUUGCCCAGGUGUGGCUGUAGGGUUAAAUUCAACAUCAGUCUUGCAGAGAGGGGAAUGUUGAUUUUGUGUUUUUAGCUCACCAACCAUUGCUGGAGAACACAAGGCUUGUGUUUUAGUCACUUCACUGCUAAAUAUACUCUCAUUUCCAUUGUUCUGUGUUUUCAGCAUUCUUGACUUCUUUCUUGGUCUUCCCCAGAUGCCAUCACUGCAUCCAUAAUUCAAAGACUUGGGUAAAGAUGACAGGAACAGUUGCAGAGAGCAGCACAGACCCUGUGAAGGCACCUAAAAGUGAACUUUAAAGAUCAAGACUAGGUUUUCACGAAGUCUUGGAUUUCUAUUCUCCUAAAUUUAAAAUCCUGCUUUGAAAAAUCAGACCAUUAAGAGAGAGAAAGAGUCAUGCAACUAAGAAGAGAACCUAGGUCUGAGAUUUGACUGCUCAUCCUGUAGCUUCUGUUCUUAAACCUUGUCAGCUUGAACAUCUCUGGAAGCAUCCAAGGUCAGGCUGGAUGGGCCUUUGAACAACUGGAUGAAGCAGAAGAUAUCCCUGGAUCCAUGUGCAUGACAGAUCUGAAGCUGGGUUAUGGAAGCAUGGUUUGGUGUGAGCCACAGGGAGAGAGAGAGCAGCAAUCCCUACUGGAAAUGGCUUGGGAAUACCAUGGAAGAAGCAGGAGCAUUGGUGAGAUUUUGAGGAUGGAAGAGUGAAAGAUGAAGUGCUAAAUCUGAGACUGUGGCUGCUAAAAUGAGCUGCUGAACAUCAGAGAGCAGGAAUUACUGCAUUUCCUGAGAGUGCUGCAGAACCUCUGAGCCUUUUAUUUCUAGUAGUAGAAAUCCACAUGGGUCUCAAGAAGUGUUAAAAUAACAGGUUUUGAAAGCAACAAUUUUUCAUCAAGGCAAAAAUAUAUUUUAUGUAUAUAAAAUAUGUAUCUUAUGCUCUGUGUUUAUCUGUUUUGCCCGUUCCAGGUCCCCUGAGCAGAUAAUGCUGCAGUCUCAGCUCCCACAGCCCCCACCCUCAGCUCCCUCACCCUCCAUCCUGGCUGCUGUGCUGUACAUCAUUUCAAAGGAGCACAGCUGGGUGCUGGACUGUAAUUUCUCAUGCAGCUCAGAUCAAGUCCAUUAGUUUAUUUGAAGGUUAGGACCAAGACCAUGGAAGUGCAUGAGGAGCUAAUAGACAGACCGGUGUUCCUGCUGUGCUCACGGGGGCUUAAACCAGCGAGAAAAUAGUCAGGAACAUCCAUAUUAUUUUCACCUUUUGCUUCAUGAUUUGCAGUAGUCUCAUUCAUAAAUGACAAAGAAACAGCUCCCUGCUGUGAGGUCCUCAUACCACAGAGAGUUGUAAUGAGUUUGUAACGAGAUGGAGAUAAGGAAGAUUUUUUGUGAUUACUCAGACAAAUCUCCGAGUGCAAAUCAGAGAUGUGCUGAGUGAGGGGUAUGUCUUUCCAUCACUCUCCAUGGCUUAAACAUCUGAGGAUACUUAAGGUAUUCUCAUGGUAUUAUGUAAGAAGAACUCAGUAAGACAAAAAUGUUCUAAAUGCAUCUUUAUGGAUUUCUUGCCUUCACUGUAUGUCAGAAUCUUUUGUAAUUUGACAGCCACUAGCAGUGAUUAAUGGCUAGCAAUAUGGCUAGGGGCAAUGUAUGUUUCAAAGUCAGUAUCAGGAAAGCCUCUGUGAUCUUGGAAGUCUUUGGCUGUGGAACUGUCUCCUUGCAAAAUCAGAAACAAGUGUUUUGCCUGUGUGCUCCUUGAAGAGCUCCAAAUAAAUAGCUGGAAUAUUAAUGAGGAUGAGUGAAAAACAGGGGAAUAUUCACCUUGGAGUGUGGAGCUAAACUGAGAUUUAAGGGUUGUUUCUGUUUCAUACUUUUAUGAUAGCUAUAGUGGAAUUUAUAUUUUCAUAUGUAUGCAUAUAUAUUUGUGGAGAUGGAUACAUAUAAGUGCUCCAGAAAGAAAUGUUUUAUUUUCAUUUUCUUGGAAGCAUCAGGUGUUUUCUGUGUUGAAUCUUAGCAUGGGUAAUAUAUAUCCAGAUAUUAAA